rnacentral:rRNA from 1 species
CCAGCUUGCUGGAUGCUGACGAGCGGCGGACGGGUGAGUAAUGCAUAGGAAUCUGCCCGAUAGUGGGGGAUAACCUGGGGAAACCCAGGCUAAUACCGCAUACGUCCUACGGGAGAAAGGGGGCUCCGGCUCCCGCUAUGGGAUGAGCCUAUGUCGGAUUAGCUAGUUGGUGAGGUAACGGCUCACCAAGGCCACGAUCCGUAGCUGGUCUGAGAGGAUGAUCAGCCACAUCGGGACUGAGACACGGCCCGAACUCCUACGGGAGGCAGCAGUGGGGAAUAUUGGACAAUGGGGGAAACCCUGAUCCAGCCAUGCCGCGUGUGUGAAGAAGGCCCUCGGGUUGUAAAGCACUUUCAGCGAGGAAGAACGCCUAGCGGUUAAUACCCGCUAGGAAAGACAUCACUCGCAGAAGAAGCACCGGCUAACUCCGUGCCAGCAGCCGCGGUAAUACGGAGGGUGCAAGCGUUAAUCGGAAUUACUGGGCGUAAAGCGCGCGUAGGUGGCUUGAUAAGCCGGUUGUGAAAGCCCCGGGCUCAACCUGGGAACGGCAUCCGGAACUGUCAAGCUAGAGUGCAGGAGAGGAAGGUAGAAUUCCCGGUGUAGCGGUGAAAUGCGUAGAGAUCGGGAGGAAUACCAGUGGCGAAGGCGGCCUUCUGGACUGACACUGACACUGAGGUGCGAAAGCGUGGGUAGCAAACAGGAUUAGAUACCCUGGUAGUCCACGCCGUAAACGAUGUCGACCAGCCGUUGGGUGCCUAGCGCACUUUGUGGCGAAGUUAACGCGAUAAGUCGACCGCCUGGGGGAGUACGGGCCGCAAGGGUUAAAACUCAAAUGAAAUUG